rnacentral:rRNA from 1 species
AACGAACGCUGGCGGCGUGCCUAACACAUGCAAGUCGAACGAGAAAGGGGCUUCGGCUCCGAGUAAAGUGGCGCACGGGUGAGUAACACGUGGGUAACCUGCCUCUAAGAUUGGGAUAACUCGUCGAAAGAUGAGCUAAUACCGAAUAAGACCACAGUUCCCGCGGGAACAGGGGUCAAAGGUAGCCUCUGCUUGCAAGCUAUCACUUAGAGAUGGGCCUGCGCACCAUUAGCUAGUUGGUAGGGUAACGGCCUACCAAGGCAAAGAUGGUUAGCUGGUCUGAGAGGAUGAGCAGCCACACUGGAACUGAGACACGGUCCAGACUCCUACGGGAGGCAGCAGUGGGGAAUAUUGCGCAAUGGGCGAAAGCUUGACGCAGCAACGCCGCGGGAGUGAUGAAGGCCUUCGGGUCGUAAAGCUCUGUCGGGAGGAACGAAUGCUCCUGAGGUUAACAGCCUCGGGAGGUGACGGUACCUUCAAAGGAAGCACCGGCUAACUCUGUG